ACGAAGCGCUUAAAUGGAUUUCUUCGGAUUGAAGUUUUUGUGACUGAGUGGCGGACGGGUGAGUAACGCGUGGGUAACCUGCCUCAUACAGGGGGAUAACAGUUAGAAAUGACUGCUAAUACCGCAUAAGCGCACAGUGCUGCAUGGCACAGUGUGAAAAACUCCGGUGGUAUGAGAUGGACCCGCGUCUGAUUAGCUAGUUGGUGGGGUAACGGCCUACCAAGGCGACGAUCAGUAGCCGGCCUGAGAGGGUGAACGGCCACAUUGGGACUGAGACACGGCCCAAACUCCUACGGGAGGCAGCAGUGGGGAAUAUUGCACAAUGGGGGAAACCCUGAUGCAGCGACGCCGCGUGAGCGAAGAAGUAUUUCGGUAUGUAAAGCUCUAUCAGCAGGGAAGAAAAUGACGGUACCUGACUAAGAAGCACCGGCUAAAUACGUGCCAGCAGCCGCGGUAAUACGUAUGGUGCAAGCGUUAUCCGGAUUUACUGGGUGUAAAGGGAGCGUAGACGGUUGUGUAAGUCUGAUGUGAAAGCCCGGGGCUCAACCCCGGGACUGCAUUGGAAACUAUGUAACUAGAGUGUCGGAGAGGUAAGCGGAAUUCCUAGUGUAGCGGUGAAAUGCGUAGAUAUUAGGAGGAACACCA
rnacentral:rRNA from 1 species